AACGAACGCUGGCGGCAUGCCUAACACAUGCAAGUCGAACGGUGGCUUCGGCCACAGUGGCGCACGGGUGAGUAACACGUGGGAACCUGCCUUUCGGUUCGGGAUAACGUCUGGAAACGGACGCUAACACCGGAUGCGUCCUUCGGGAGAAAGUUCACGCCGAGAGAGGGGCCCGCGUCCGAUUAGGUAGUUGGUGAGGUAACGGCUCACCAAGCCGACGAUCGGUAGCUGGUCUGAGAGGAUGAUCAGCCACACUGGGACUGAGACACGGCCCAGACUCCUACGGGAGGCAGCAGUGGGGAAUAUUGGACAAUGGGCGCAAGCCUGAUCCAGCAAUGCCGCGUGAGUGAUGAAGGCCUUAGGGUUGUAAAGCUCUUUCGCACGCGACGAUGAUGACGGUAGCGUGAGAAGAAGCCCCGGCUAACUUCGUG
rnacentral:rRNA from 1 species